rnacentral:rRNA from 1 species
UACGUAGGGUGCGAGCGUUAAUCGGAAUUACUGGGCGUAAAGCGUGCGCAGGCGGCGCGUUAAGACAGGUGUGAAAGCCCCGAGCUUAACUUGGGAAUUGCGCUUGUGACUGGCGUGCUGGAGUGUGGCAGAGGGAGGUGGAAUUCCACGUGUAGCAGUGAAAUGCGUAGAUAUGCGGAGGAACACCGAUGGCGAAGGCGGCUUCCUGGACCGACACUGACGCUGAGGCGCGAAAGCUAGGGGAUCAAACAGG